rnacentral:misc_RNA from 1 species
CAAGAAGAGACCCUAACCGGUCCUCUCAACCCUGCCCAUCGUACCUUUUUUGUUGUUCCCUCGCGGUGCUCGCGGGCCCGCCGGCGGGAAGACCAAACAAACCCUUUGCAAACAAGCAUAUCGAAUCCCUGAUCAAACAUGAAUUGUCA